rnacentral:rRNA from 1 species
UACAGAGGUCUCAAGCGUUGUUCGGAUUCAUUGGGCGUAAAGGGUGCGUAGGUGGCGUCGUAAGUCGGGUGUGAAAUCUCGGGGCUUAACUCCGAAACUGCAUUCGAUACUGCGGUGCUUGAGGACUGGAGAGGAGACUGGAAUUUACGGUGUAGCAGUGAAAUGCGUAGAUAUCGUAAGGAAGACCAGUGGCGAAGGCGAAUCUCUGGACAGUUACUGACACUGAGGCACGAAGGCCAGGGGAGCAAACGGG